rnacentral:rRNA from 1 species
GACGAACGCUGGCGGCGUGCUUAACACAUGCAAGUCGAGCGGUAAGGCCCUUCGGGUACGACGAGCGGCGAACGGGUGAGUAACACGUGGGUGACCUGCCUCUAGCUCUGGGAUAAGCCUGGGAAACUGGGUCUAAUACCGGAUAUGACUCCACGGCGCAUGUUGUGGGGUGGAAAGCCUUGUGUGGCUAGAGAUGGGCCCGCGGCUUAUCAGCUUGUUGGUGGGGUGAUGGCCUACCAAGGCGACGACGGGUAGCCGGCCUGAGAGGGCGACCGGCCACACUGGGACUGAGACACGGCCCAGACUCCUACGGGAGGCAGCAGUGGGGAAUCUUGCGCAAUGGGGCGAAAGCCUGACGCAGCGACACCGCGU